GCCGGUGUAGCUCAGAGGCAGAGCAGCUGAUUCGUAAUCAGCUGGUCAGGAGUUCGACUCUCCUCACCGGCUCCA
rnacentral:tRNA from 2 species